rnacentral:rRNA from 1 species
UGGGGAAUUUUGGACAAUGGGCGAAAGCCUGAUCCAGCAAUGCCGCGUGUGUGAAGAAGGCCUUCGGGUUGUAAAGCACUUUUGUCCGGAAAGAAAUCCUUGGCUCUAAUACAGUCGGGGGAUGACGGUACCGGAAGAAUAAGCACCGGCUAACUACGUGCCAGCAGCCGCGGUAAUACGUAGGGUGCAAGCGUUAAUCGGAAUUACUGGGCGUAAAGCGUGCGCAGGCGGUUUGCUAAGACCGAUGUGAAAUCCCCGGGCUCAACCUGGGAACUGCAUUGGUGACUGGCAGGCUAGAGUAUGGCAGAGGGGGGUAGAAUUCCACGUGUAGCAGUGAAAUGCGUAGAGAUGUGGAGGAAUACCGAUGGCGAAGGCAGCCCCCUGGGCCAAUACUGACGCUCAUGCACGAAAGCGUGGGGAGCAAACAGGAUUAGAUACCCUGGUAGUCCACGCCCUAAACGAUGUCAACUGGUUGUUGGGGAUUCAUUUCCUUAGUAACGUAGCUAACGCGUGAAGUUGACCGCCUGGGGAGUACGGUCGCAAGAUUAAAGCUCAAAGGAAUUGACGGGGUCAUAGCUGUUUCCU